rfam:Canis lupus familiaris chromosome 38, whole genome shotgun sequence.
GCCUGGGUCGCUCAGUGGUUGAGUGUCUGCCUUCGGCUCAGGUAAUGAUCCCGGGGUGCUGGGAUCGAGUCCUGCUUCAGGCU